AACGAACGCUGGCGGCAUGCCUAACACAUGCAAGUCGAACGAGACCUUCGGGUCUAGUGGCGCACGGGUGCGUAACGCGUGGGAACCUGCCCUUAGGUUCGGUAUAACUCCCCGAAAGGGGUGCUAAUACCGGAUAAUGUCUUCGGACCAAAGAUUUAUCGCCUUUGGAUGGGCCCGCGCUGGAUUAGCUAGUUGGUAGGGUAAAAGCCUACCAAGGCGACGAUCCAUAGCUGGUCUGAGAGGAUGAUCAGCCACACUGGGACUGAGACACGGCCCAGACUCCUACGGGAGGCAGCAGUGGGGAAUAUUGGACAAUGGGCGAAAGCCUGAUCCAGCAAUGCCGCGUGAGUGAUGAAGGCCUUAGGGUUGUAAAGCUCUUUUACCCGGGAUGAUAAUGACAGUACCGGGAGAAUAAGCUCCGGCUAACUCCGUG
rnacentral:rRNA from 1 species